AAGACAUUGGUUUGAGUCCUAACCCUGUGGGAUCUUGGGCAAGGCACUUUGCCUAUUUGAGUCUCAGUUUACCUUCUGUAACAUGAGGGGAAUUAUCAACAAUAAUAGUUAAUAUUCUCGAACCCUCACUGUGGGCCAGGCAAUGUGCUAAGUGUUAGGGUUAUUUCGUUUAUUCCUCUUGAUAACCUUAAGAGGGAGGUACUAUUAUUCCUGUUUUAAAGAUGAGGAAACUGAGGUUGGCUUUAAUUAGCUUGUGUCAGGUCUCAAAGCUAGGUGACAGUAUUUAUCUCACAAGGUUUAUGUAAGAGUUGUAUAAGCUGCUUAUGAAUGUGUUUUUUGAUUAUGAAAUACACAUGCAAACGAUUUUCCAUGUAAAAGUAUUUUGAUUUUUUUUUGAGAAAAAGUCCUGAAUGCCCAGUCAUCACUGUUUGAUCUUAUCUGCCAAAUGUUCUUUGAAUUGCUGCUGAGUGUGAAGAACCGUGUCAAGCGCUGGAGAGGAGGGCAUGCUGCAACCCCCGCUCUCAUGGAGGUUACAGGGAGGGCUGGAGACCACGGUCAGGAGGGACCCCCAGGUGAGUUGCACCUCCUGAGAGAAACUCAGCCAGACGGCAAGGCUGCCCACCCCUCCCUCCACAUUCACUGCCCCACACUGGUGGAGAGAAGUGGUUUCCUUGGGAACUGAUGGCUCCACCUGUCGCCUCUGUGCAGCCAGCUGCUACUGUGUAGGAGCUGGGUGAGGAGUAGAUCCAGGAUUCUUGGAGGUGUGACUUUGAAGACAGGUUUCUCCCUUCACCCAUCAGGCUGCCGAUGGAGGCUGCUCCCCAGACAGGCUGCAUCUAUGGUGCCCCUUCAUGUUACACAGCCAGGCCUGGGAGAUGCAAUCUCAAAAAACACGUUCAGAGACAGUGCAUACAAUUCUUACAAAGACUCUAUGAGGGAGGUACUAUCAGCCAGCAGUGAGACCUCAGGCCGGUUGAUUAAACUCUGAGCCUCAGUUUCAUCACCUAUAAAAUGAGGAUAAUACUGGUACAGUGUUUUAUAAAAACAACCAUAAGGUUGUUUUUAUGAAAGAGUAGCCAGGACAGAGGAAGCCCCUUUGAUGCUGGCACAUGGGGUGAAGGCUCAUGCCCACCUCAAGUCAGCUCUGCCAGGUCAGCUGUAUUAUGCAUUCAGUAAAUGAAGUCACACCUAGGCCAGGUGAAAGAUGUGCCCUUAGCACACUAGCCAAGAGGCCUUGCUAGUUCUGAGCCCCCAGAUGAGGAACACCAGUGUUGGUUGGAGGCAGGCCUCCUCUAGGGAAGGGGCUGCUCUUGGAGCAGAAGUGGAGACUGACUGCUUGCCCCAGUGUCAAGAAAGAAGAUGGAGCUGAACAUGACCACCCAUUCUCCCCCAUUUACCAAGCAGAGAAGUUUCCACCUCCACACGUGCAGUGGGAGUACAAGGUGAAAGGAAUCUAGAAUCUCACCCACUGAGGAGGUUUCCUCUAUCCAGACACAUGGCAUGAGUGCGGAAGAAGCAUUGCAACCUCUACCCCCAACCAGCCACCAUCUUGCACAUGAAACCCUGGAGUUUUAGAACUAAAGGUACUUUAAAAGUCAUCUAGACCAACCCACUCAUUUACAGAAGAGGAAAUAGACUCAGAGGGAGAAUGACUUGAUGAAGCGGAAGAGCUGAAACUCAAACAAGGUCUCCUGGCUCCUGGACCUGUGUCUGUUUCAUGUCCAGGGUGUAGCUGGCAGGGCUUUUUCCAGGUCAUGCUCUAGGGACGUGAACAUCUCCAGCCAGGCCCAUCCCUAUCAGCAUUGCAUGUAGGGGAUGACACUCAGCCUUGCUACUCCUUUC
rnacentral:lncRNA from 1 species